UGGACCAAGGCAGGAGGUAGUGGACCAAGGCAGGAGGUAGUGGACCAUGGCAGGAGGUAGUGGACCAAGGCAGGAGGUAGUGGACCAAGGCAGGAGGUAGUGGG